rnacentral:lncRNA from 1 species
AGUGAUUAAGCACAUAGGUUCUGGAGCCAGUCUGUUUCUUUCAAAAUCACCUCAUUGCUUUUGAAGAAUCAGGGAAACCCCCAUGAGACUACAGGUGUGAAGCAAGAUAGAAGCAUCAGUGCAAAAGAGUACUGCAUUUCCAAAUAAAGCCACUCACAAUCUUUAAUCAGGCUGUAAAUUUUAAGAAAUCUGGACCAAGACAGUUUGCUCCAAGAGUAUCCCACAAAUGCAGAUCUUCAGAGUGAGAUUUUAUUAUUGGAUUGCUCACCUGUCUGUUGUUCCUCUAAUCUGAUGGGACACUCCCGCAAUGAUGCUUCAGCUGUAUUUUAACCUCAAGAAACCCUAAGAUCCCUCACUCCUAUGCUGCUGUCAACGGGAGGCUAAGAAGCACAGAGAAAUAGGCCAUACAAAGUCUACCUCUCUGAACACUCUGGUUUGUUGAGAUGACAGAUGGUUAAGUCUCUCUCUGACAUCAAGAGUUAGAGCCAAAGUUAUCAUGGAAUUGUUUCUUUUGGAAUGUCAAGUUUAUGUGCACCGUAUCACUCUUCUGAAAUGGACUCAAGAUUCAGGGUCUCAUCUCACUUUUGAUUUAACUACACUCAUAUUCAUCCAUGUGUGAAAAAUGGUGAUCACACUAGAAAGCUUGUUCUUACUGUUUCCUUGCAUAUCUGAAUACCUGCAUCACAUUCAAAUCUAACUCACUGCCUUAAUUUAAUAGCUGAAAGAAACACUGAACAAGUCACACUCCUGCAAGGGCAUGGAACACAGAAUGAAGUUAGCAAACCAUGAUUGGUCUUAAGGAGCCAUCAAAAUCCAAUUUCCUUCAAGCUUUCUGCCUAGCCUUCCUUCACAUAUAGCUUCCAUUCUCCAGUUUCCCCCUGUGAACCUGAUUCUCUUACUGAGAUACCUUGGAACAUGGUUUGAAUAAUAUUGCUCUAACUUCUUUCAUGUCAGGAAGCUCUGAGAUGCAGAAACACAGAAAGGAAGAGGAUUAGCAACUUUCCCAGAUCUGAGUUGAGCUGAGAUUUGAGUCAAGGCAAUAUUGCUUCUGGGGCUGUAACAACUACAUUUUAUUGUCUCCUGAACAGAUACUUCCUUUUCUUACUUAAUAAGAAUAGACCUUGGAGGUCUGGACCUGGACAUGAACGUACACUUUUCUAAAGAAGAUAUACACAUGGCCAACAAGCAUGUGAAAAAAAGCUCAAUAUCACUGAUCAUUAGAGAAAUGCAAAUGAAAAUCACAAUGAGAGACCAUCUCACACCAGUCAGAAUGGCUAUUAUUAAAAACUCAAAAAAU